rnacentral:rRNA from 1 species
CACGUAGGCACCAAGCGUUGUCCGGAUUUAUUGGGCGUAAAGAGCUCGUAGGCGGUUCGGUAAGUCGGGUGUGAAAACUCAGGGCUCAACCCUGAGCCGCCACCCGAUACUGCUGUGACUUGAGUUCGGUAGGGGAGCGGGGAACUCCUGGUGUAGCGGUGAAAUGCGCAGAUAUCAGGAAGAACACCAGUGGCGAAGGCGCCGCUCUGGGCCGAGACUGACGCUGAGGAGCGAAAGCGUGGGUAGCAAA